rnacentral:rRNA from 1 species
ACGAACGCUGGCGGCGUGCUUAACACAUGCCAGUCGAACGGAAAGGCCCUGCUUUUGUGGGGUGCUCGAGUGGCGAACGGGUGAGUAACACGUGAGUAACCUGCCCUUGACUUUGGGAUAACUUCAGGAAACUGGGGCUAAUACCGGAUAGGAGCUCCUGCUGCAUGGUGGGGGUUGGAAAGUUUCGGCGGUUGGGGAUGGACUCGCGGCUUAUCAGCUUGUUGGUGGGGUAGUGGCUUACCAAGGCUUUGACGGGUAGCCGGCCUGAGAGGGUGACCGGCCACAUUGGGACUGAGAUACGGCCCAGACUCCUACGGGAGGCAGCAGUGGGGAAUAUUGCACAAUGGGCGGAAGCCUGAUGCAGCAACGCCGCGUGCGGGAUGACGGCCUUCGGGUUGUAAACCGCUUUCGCCUGUGACGAAGCGUGAGUGACGGGAAUGGGUAAAGAAGCACCGGCUAACUACGU